GCUGAAGAACGCAGCGAAAUGCGAUAAGUAAUGCGAAUUGCAGAAUUCAGUGAGUCAUCGAAUCUUUGAACGCACAUUGCGCCCUGUGGUAUUCCGCAGGGCAUGCCUGUUCGAGCGUCAUUUCAACCCUCAAGCUCUGCUUGGUGUUGGGCCCUGCCCGCUGCGGCCGGCCCUAAAGACAGUGGCGGUGCCGCCUGGCCCUGAGCGUAGUACAUCUCUCGCUCCAGUGCCCGGUGGUAGCCUGCCAGAACCCCAACUCUCGUGGUUGACCUCGGAUCAGGUAGGGAUACCCGCUGAACUUAAGCAUAUCAAUAAGCGGAGGA
rnacentral:misc_RNA from 1 species